rnacentral:rRNA from 1 species
GACGAACGCUGGCGGCGUGCUUAACACAUGCAAGUCGAACGCUGAAGCUUGGUGCUUGCACUGGGUGGGUGAGUGGCGAACGGGUGAGUAAUACGUGAGUAACCUGCCCUUGACUCUGGGAUAAGCCUGGGAAACUGGGUCUAAUACUGGAUAUGACAUGCCACUGCAUGGUGGUGUGUGGAAAGGGUUUUACUGGUUUUGGAUGGGCUCACGGCCUAUCAGCUUGUUGGUGGGGUAAUGGCCUACCAAGGCGACGACGGGUAGCCGGCCUGAGAGGGUGACCGGCCACACUGGGACUGAGACACGGCCCAGACUCCUACGGGAGGCAGCAGUGGGGAAUAUUGCACAAUGGGCGGAAGCCUGAUGCAGCGACGCCGCGUGAGGGAUGACGGCCUUCGGGUUGUAAACCUCUUUCAGCACGGAAGAAGCGAGAGUGACGGUACGUGCAGAAGAAGCGCCGGCUAACUACGUG